rnacentral:rRNA from 1 species
UGGGGAAUAUUGGACAAUGGGGGAAACCCUGAUCCAGCAAUGCCGCGUGUGCGAUGAAGGCCUGCGGGUUGUAAAGCACUUUCGUUGGGGAAGAAAUUAUCAAAUAUAAUACAUUUGAGGGCUGACAUUACCCAAAGAAGAAGCACCGGCAAACUCUGUGCCAGCAGCCGCGGUAAUACAGAGGGUGCAAGCGUUAAUCGGAGUUACUGGGCGUAAAGGGCGCGUAGGCUGGUAUUUAAGUCGAUUGUGAAAUCCCUGGGCUUAACCUAGGAAUUGCAGUCGAUACUGAAUAUCUUGAGUAUGGUAGAGGAAAGUGGAAUUCUCGGUGUAGUGGUUAAAUACGUAGAUAUCGAGAAGAACACCGGUGGCGAAGGCGACUUUCUGGACCAAUACUGACGCUGAGGCGCGAAAGCGUGGGGAGCAAACA